AGGAAUGAGAACCAGAAGGAUCUUUUUUCAUUGACUGAUAGGUCUUAUUUUUCUGGAAAUCAUCAUAUACAGGGAGUAUCCUGCCAUCAGUCUGUGCCAAGAACUCACAUCGACAUCAAUGGGAGUUUGGAGUGCAUUGUGCAGGUUCAUUUGAAAGGGAUGCUACCAAGCCUAAAAGAGGGAGAUGACAGAAUUUUCUAUGGGUAAAUGUAUCCUAUUUAUUAUCUUCAUUAAUGGUUUGUAGAGAAAAAAAAAAAAAAAAUAACAGUGAUCAUCAAAUUUGCUGAUUAAACAAAGGUAAAUCACCGUGGAAGGAGAAGAAGACAAGGAGUGAUGGAUGACUCUGCAAUACUAAAAAAACAUAACAAAGUGUAAAAGACUAAUAGCACUUUUUGCCAUUAGCCCAUGAGCUGGAUGCAGCACAGAAAAGGAAGGUAGUGAUAUACUGACUGAUGACAGAAGUAUGAAGCCUCAGAUGGUGAUGCAUCUCCAUCUACAAUCUACAGACAGAUUAUGCCUGUCCCUGAUGUCUGCCUUCCCUCUUGUCCCCCACAAGCCCUGCCAGCUGAAAACCCAUGGCAGUAGCCCAGUGCAAGAGCAUGGAGAGACCCCACAGGGGCUGCACUGUGUGACUUGGCACUCUUCAGAGACAGAAAGGGAUAUGGAAUACAAAUUCUCACAUCUGAGCUAAAAGUGAAACCAACUCCCUUGGCAAGUCCCACUUCUAUAAGGUUACUUGCCAUAGAGGGUGAGGAAAGCAAAGUGUCUAAAAAGCAUCUUUAUAGGACUCGGGUAUCUGCUCUCAGGCAAGGAUUAUGACCUGUUGAUAGAAGCAUGACCUGAAGAGGUGAUCAGCCCAUCUAUUCCAUGUUUUCCUGCACUUGGCCUUUCCCAUUAUCCUGGAUGCUCCAUGACAUGAAUGUAUGGAAGCAACGUCUGUGAUGAGCAGUGCCCAGGGCAGUGCACCAUCUCAGCAUCUAUCUCACUGGGAAUGUGGCAUGGGCAUCUGAUUAAUCAACAGGAAUCACUGAAAAACCAUCACUUCAAGCUCAAUUCUAUCAAUGGCAGACCUAAGCAGGCAGUACAUAUGCAGGCAGACAUAUUCAGGACUCUCUUUGCCAUAUGCUCCACAGUACCUGUAAUAUCCAAUUUAUACCAGUCUAUAGAAUAACCUCCUCAUAACCACAGAUAACAGAGAUUGAUGAUAUUGUUCAAAGGACAUCAAACAGGUUUUGAACUUAUUAAGAAGAAUGAGCACAGCAGAAUUUGAGACACCUGAUGUUGGGAUAUUUCAUGUUUCUAAAGUAUUGCAUAGCUUUCCUUACAUUCUUGGAGACCUUAUUUGUUCCUGGUUUACAAUGUUCCAGAAGGAAAAAAAUACACCCUUUGGCGUACAGGAUGAUUUUCAUUUCACUGAUGAACUGAUAGCUGAGUUGUAGCUUUUAAUACCAAAAUAAUUUUAGAAAUCUAUAAUUUCUAGUUUAUCUGAAAUGGGAAAUAUAGAACUCAUUUUUCAUUUGCUAAUCUAACUCUGUUGCUGUCACUGUACAGAAACGGCAUGUGUUCAAAAAAAGAAGUGAGCAUCCAUUAAAAGCCUCUGCAAAGGAGAUGCAGAAGUGCAGAUUGCUGUAAACCACUGAGAUUGCUUUUCAAGAGGAAACUUCUUGUUCAAGGCUUUGCUUUCAACCAUAGUUUUUGCAAAGGAAUGGAAUUCCUCAGGAGCUAAAGAGAAUCCUUGCCCUUCAAUCCAAAAAUGUGUGCUCAGGGGUGACAGUCUCCAGAGACAAAGAUGCAUAAACCCUAAAUGAUUACACUUCAAGCUCUCUUAGAAAGACACAUCCACUGCUACUCACAGGGAUCCAUACCAGAUAAGUGUGGUUUGGUAAUAAAGAUAAUGGACCUCUAUAAUAGUUAGCCAGAUCAUUUUGCACACAUAUUGAGCAAGGAGUGAAAAGAAAGCUCCCACCUAAGUAACUCGUUUUGAAGAAAUACUCCAGCACAUGUAAAGCUUACAUGGAAAUUUUUUUUCCCUCUCUUUUCUUGAUGUAUAAUGAGGGAAAAAAAAGUAGAUUUGUCAAACUUGGAACAUUUUUCAGAAAUCUUUAAUUUCAAUUAAUAAUUCCUCACCUUAGGAUACUGUUUAAGUUUUUUGGCCCAGAACAUUCCCUCCUAAUUCCCUCCUAAAAAGACAAUGGACACCUAAAUAUCACAAGUUCUGUGGAGUCCCACAUUCAAGUUCCUGUCAGACCAUUAGACCUUCCCAAAUGAACUAUAUGAACAUCUAAUAUGUAGUUAUUCAUUGAAAAUGCACAGGGCUGACAAGAAAGAUUUGAAUUUCCAUGUGAUAAAAACAGAGAUGCUUCAGAGGCAUGUUCCUCAGUGGAAAUAUUAUUCUAAUUAUCUCAUGGUGAGGUGGAAUACACAGACCAAUUUUUAAAUGUGCAUUUUAUUCCAUUUCACCACCAGUGAUAUAGCAGAUGAUUAGACUGGGCUAGAUUUUUAACCAGAAUAACAGUAGCCAUCUUGACUGAUGAGAUGCCGGUCUUAGGUAGGGGGAUUUUUACUCAGUUGUGAAAUGUACUAUUUAAUUUGACAGUCAGUUUUCAAUGUCACUCAAAAUCCGAGACUGGGAGUGGUAGUGGAAUUUUAAUUCAUUUUUGAGGUAUGUCACAGCUCCCCUUAUUAGAGAAAAUGGAAGUCAGAAUCACAUGUUUUUGUUUAGAAAUAGAGGUCUGCUUAACUUUAGGUUUUAGAAGGCAGAAUGACUUUCACUGACACCAUUUAGUCUGUUUUUAAACCAUAAUAGGGUUUCACUGAAACCAUUUUACCAUCAUAACCUUACAUUGUAAUGGCUUCAUAAUGGCACUGUCAGAAAGGUCCUUAUAGACUUGCUCUGAAAUAGUUUCCCUAUAAUAACUUCAUAUCUCUGACUUCAUUGUAAUGAUUUCAUCGUGAGGUCAUGGACUAGCAAUGAAUCCCUUUUGCCACUGAAAUCUUAGAGCUCCUCAUUACAGCCUCAGUCACCACAGAAUUGUGAUGGGGCUCCACUGGAUAACAAUGAAACCGUUUCCUUAUGAUGCAUUAGGCUCAAAUAAUAUCACCACCCUAAUGAUCUAGUCAGGGGUUAGGAAAGAGUGAGCCACCCCUUGCUCUUUUCAGUGUUUCAGUUUGGUGUUUGAUGCCAAGGGCUGAAGGUGUGUGGUUUGGCUUCUGAACUGCCGCCCCUUCUCUUGGAAUUGUGAAUGGUGGCUACACACCCUGCAAGAACAGCCAAUUCUAAAAGAACAAAAAGAGUAAGAGAGCUUUUUUACUGCUUCUGGGCCCCAAUUCAGCAAACACUUAAGUUCGUUCCUCUUUAGCAACAGGUCUCUGACUAAUUUUAAGCCUGGAUUCAAAUCUCCUUAACUCCAGCAUGAUCUAAAUACAUGGGCAGGUGGUUUCUUGUGUCAAGUCAGACUUGUGAACAUUGUCUGCAGCACUGAGCUCGUGUUCUCACAUGCUCAACCUAGCUGCUGCAAGAAAAAUCCUGAAAAGUGAUGCAGGUUCUGAGCUCCUGCCAGGGUCAGUGGAACCAUCAGGCCCUACAGAUGUGGAUUUACAGGGAGUGCCCUGCAACAGCCUCAGCUCUCCCAUCAAAUCCACAGCCCUCCAAUCCCACAACUCUCCACUUCUACAGAAACUUGUACCUACUCUGUUUAUUCAGCUUUCUUUGAUAGAACAAAUACUCCUGAUAAAACUUCUUUAAUCAAGCUGACCUAAUGAAGCAGACUACUCCCUCUAGCCUCUCAGCACUGGCUAUCUUCUGCCAGAAUCCUAAAAUCCUUGCUGUCAUUUUCCCUUCCUUGUGGACUUUAAAAAGUAUGUUCUCAACAGACUUACAUUUUAGGCUACUGAAACCUUGAGUUACAAUUGUUCUGCAAUUGUCCCAUCACAAGUUUCACACUGGCUGAUGUUCCUUGUGCUGUCACUGCUAAAAUCCUCCCACCUUCACAUCACUUGCUGAUGCUGACUUAAAAAAUAAGAAAAACCAAUUCCCAAGUCAAAACACAAGCUAUCCAUGUAUUUUCUACCUCACAGAAUAUGAAAGGAACCUAGGGGUGCUGAUGCACAUGAAAGCUCCUUAGAGCUAAGUAGAAAAAUUGGAAAAAUGUAGUUGUCUUAACAUCUCAGCUUCUCUAAAACAGAUGAUGGGGAAGCCAGGCAAUGGGGGUAGGCGUGGGCUCAGCCAUGCUUGGCAUUACUUCCUUCAGUUUGAUACAGGUGGUAUUAUUAAUGGAACCUGUAAUGGUAAAUAUAGGGUAGAUUUUUUUUUUUUUGUUGUUGUUACAGCUAUCUCAAAUGUUAUUUUUCUAGGUUUAUGCAUGGAUAUGAGAAUAUGUCCAGAAUAACACUGUAACCCAUGCAUGUCUUUACAACUUGUAUCCACCAAGAAAGUGAUAGUCUGUAAAAACCAGGUGGACAGUGAACUCUUUUAGUUAGUUGCAAUCUGAAAAAUAAAAUGGACUCAAAUCAA